rnacentral:rRNA from 1 species
CCUUUGACGUUAGCGGCGGACGGGUGGGUAACACGUGGGUAACCUACCUAUAAGACUGGGAUAACUUCGGGAAACCGGAGCUAAUACCGGAUAAUAUUUCGAACCGCAUGGUUCGAUAGUGAAAGGUGGUUUUGCUAUCACUUAUAGAUGGACCCGCGCCGUAUUAGCUAGUUGGUAAGGUAACGGCUUACCAAGGCGACGAUACGUAGCCGACCUGAGAGGGUGAUCGGCCACACUGGAACUGAGACACGGUCCAGACUCCUACGGGAGGCAGCAGCU